GUAGAUAUAUCCGAACCACAUAAAAUUCUGUUUCGUCUUUAUUUAUUUUAUUACUUUUUUGAGCAACUAGCAAAUUGCUCCUCCAAAAGCAAAAAUGUUGAGAUUUUAUCAUAAAACGGGGUCGUCAUGCGAAAUCAGCCCUUGUCCGUCGUUCAGAAGAACUCCGGCCACUGCCGCGGAGUGUGUCUUGCUUUCUCACUCUCUUGCUCAAGUCGUCGUCUCUCCUACGAUGCCCAAGCCAUUCACUCUCACCCAAACGAUCGCCACUGCUGGAGUCUUCUCCGCUGUCUCAUUCUGGUACGGUUUUAUGUUUGGCCGGGAAUCCGCUCGAAAAGAGCUCAGCGAUCUCAUCGAUGACCUUCGUCGCUCCAAUUCCAACUCCUCCGUCCCUCCGCAUUCCUGAACGGGUCUUGGGGGGAAAUUAGCAGCUUAGUUUGAAUUGACGGCAAGAAAAGGACUUCAUCCAUUCUGCUUGGAGCGGAGUCAAGGGAUGGAUCCUGUUUCUGAAGGUACUCAGACCUUGGCUGAAAGUUCUCGUUCUCUCCAGGCCUUCAUGUGCAGUGCAUGUUUGAUGUCUUGUUAUGUUAUCUUUGACCAAGAAAUACAUUGUUUAGAUGAUGGUUUGAGAAAUUUUAGAUGUUCCUUGUAUAGAUGAUGGUUUGUAAAUUUUGAAAUCUCCACUUUGUACUAGACCCAAGCGAUGUGCUUUUCUGCUGGAGUGAUUGUUUGGAACUAAUGUAUUAGAUGAUUGGAGCUCAGAAUCAAAUCUUGAGUCAAAUUUUGAGUGGA